AUUUAUCCUGUGAUCUGCUAAGCAUUUACUUUGACUCAUGUUCCUGUUUAUGACCACAGACUUUGUUUUCUGACUUUGCCCUUUUUGCUCUGCCCUGUGGAUUGUUUAUUUGGUUACUGCUUUUUGGAAUUUUGACUCUUGCCUGUGUUUGGACCAUGUUUUUGCCUUUUCCCUUUUGGACUGUUCGCCUGGUGAAUACCUCACCUGCAAUGCAGAUGGCAGACCCGGAGGUGUUUCAAAAAGCUCUGACAGAGCAAGGGCUGUUUCUCAGAAGACACCAACAGAGUUCUGGAAUGGGCAACAACUAGUUGGAGUAACAUUCAUAGUCUCUGCUAUUCCCAAUACCUUAAGGAGUUCAAGACUGUCUUUGAUCAUCAGUAUGAAGGCAAUGUUAAUGGGGAACUAUUAACGAAGUUACAUCAGGGAACUUCCACUGUGGUGGACUACUCUCUCAUUUCCAUACUUUAGCCGCUAGCAGUGGAUGGAAUGAGGCUGUGCUUAUGGUAAAUUUAUGUCAAGGGCUGAACCCUGAGAUACUGACUGAACUUGCCUGUAAAGACAACGACCUGAACAUGGACCAGCUCAUCACUCUGGCAGUUCACUUGGAUCAUCUAUUGCAUCAACACAAUGUCAACAACAGGAAGAACUAUCAAAAGACUAGCCACCAGACCAAGAACAACAACAGAACACAACGAUACAUCUGAACCUAUGCAGUGUGUUUCCUCCCGUUUGACACCCGGAGAGAGAAUGCGCUGGAUGAGAGAAUAUCUAUGCUGGUAUUGUGGUAGAGCCAUUUACUGAUGAGUUUAUUGUAUACCGUCAUCCCAAAUCUGUUUUCAGCCCUGAUGGAUUCCAGAACGGAAGGAAAUUUUAUACAUGCCUGACUCGUGGAACAGAUGCAGAUACCAGUGCAAGAACUCAAGAUGCCAUUAAAGGUGGUGGCACUGGAUGGAGGACCAGUGGGCAUGGGAUUCAUCUCCAAAGUGACUCAAUCACUGGAAAUCCAAACCAGUGCUCUUCAUAAGGAAACCCUAUCCUUUUUGGUACUAGAACAAUCCAAGUUUGAGAUAUUAGGUCUGACUUGGUUAGACAUUCAUCCAUUUCCUGGUCUGAUCACAUGGUCCUCAGAUAGUCAGAUUUUUGUUUUCACUCAUGUUUGACUCGACCUUCCUUAUCGGUCUCUCUACUUCAGUUGAAAGCCUGAAUGCUGACCUCACAGUCCAAGUCCCUACAGAAUAUCUAGACUUAAGACGUAUUUAAUAAAUAUAAUGCUACCAAAUUA